rnacentral:rRNA from 1 species
AUUUACUUAGUACGGCGAGUGAAGCGGUAAAAGCUCAAAUUUGAAAUCUGGUACUUUCAGUGCCCGAGUUGUAAUUUGUAGAAUUUGUCUUUGAUUAGGUCCUUGUCUAUGUUCCUUGGAACAGGACGUCAUAGAGGGUGAGAAUCCCGUUUGGCGAGGAUACCUUUUCUCUGUAAGACUUUUUCGAAGAGUCGAGUUGUUUGGGAAUGCAGCUCAAAGUGGGUGGUAAAUUCCAUCUAAAGCUAAAUAUUGGCGAGAGACCGAUAGCGAACAAGUACAGUGAUGGAAAGAUGAAAAGAACUUUGAAAAGAGAGUGAAAAAGUACGUGAAAUUGUUGAAAGGGAAGGGCAUUUGAUCAGACAUGGUGUUUUUUGCAUGCACUCGCCUCUCGUGGGCUUGGGCCUCUCAAAAAUUUCACUGGGCCAACAUCAAUUCUGGCAGCAGGAUAAAUCAUUAAGAAUGUAGCUACUUCGGUAGUGUUAUAGCUUUUUGGAAUACUGUUAGCCGGGAUUGAGGACUGCGCUUCGGCAAGGAUGUUGGCAUAAUGGUUAAAUGCCGC